GUUCAGCUGAUUAAGAUGACAACCUCCCAAAACCACCGAGACUUUGUGGCAGAGCCCAUGGGGGAAAAGCCAGUGGGGAGCCUGGCCGGGAUUGGUGAAGUCUUGGGCAAGAAGCUGGAGGAAAGGGGCUUUGACAAGGCCUAUGUGGUCCUUGGCCAGUUUCUGGUGCUAAAGAAAGAUGAAGAUCUCUUCCGGGAAUGGCUGAAGGACACAUGUGGUGCCAAUGCCAAGCAGUCCCGGGACUGCUUUGGGUGCCUUCGAGAGUGGUGCGACGCCUUUUUGUGAGGCUCUCUUUGGGGAGCCCCCAGCCCCUAGCCCCUAGCCCCAGCAUCGAGUCUCCAGAGUUUGCAGCUGCGUGAGGACUCCUCCCUUGUCCUCUACAAAUGAAGAGAUUGCUGUUGUCGUACUCACUUUUGAUGUACUUCAAGGUCUUUUGGGAGUUCUCUCCCCCACCAUUUCAACUUUUUUGCAUGCAUCUCCCUUCUCCUUCCCCUGCUAGUUUCAUGUCAACAAUUAUUGGCUUUUCUGAGUGGAUUCCUGGCCCUUCCUUCACCCCCACCGGUCUGUUUUAUGCUAUUUGGCUCCUUUUUUGGCAGAAUAGUCACUGUCCUUGUAAAGUUUUUUAAAUCAAUAAAGUCAGUGGCCUUC